AUCAGACUUUUCCUAGUCCCUGAGACCCUAACUUGUGAGGUUUUGUAGCAACAAUCACAAGUCAGGCUCUUGGGACCUAGGCGGAGGGGA
ensembl:miRNA microRNA 125b-2